GAUGAACGCUGGCGGCGUGCCUAAUACAUGCAAGUCGAGCGAACGGACGAGAAGCUUGCUUCUCUGAUGUUAGCGGCGGACGGGUGAGUAACACGUGGAUAACCUACCUAUAAGACUGGGAUAACUUCGGGAAACCGGAGCUAAUACCGGAUAAUAUUUUGAACCGCAUGGUUCAAAAGUGAAAGACGGUCUUGCUGUCACUUAUAGAUGGAUCCGCGCUGCAUUAGCUAGUUGGUAAGGUAACGGCUUACCAAGGCAACGAUGCAUAGCCGACCUGAGAGAGUGAUCGGCCACACUGGAACUGAGACACGGUCCAGACGCCUACGGGAGGCAGCAGUAGGGAAUCUUCCGCAAUGGGCGAAAGCCUGACGGAGCAACGCCGCGUGAGUGAUGAAGGUCUUCGGAUCGUAAAACUCUGUUAUGAGGGAAGAACAUAUGUGUAAGUAACUGUGCACAUCUUGACGGUACCUAAUCAGAAAGCCACGGCUAACUACGUG
rnacentral:rRNA from 1 species